GACGAACGCUGGCGGCGUGCCUAACACAUGCAAGUCGAACGGAAAGGCCCUGCUUUUGUGCGGUGCUCUAGUUGCGAACGGGUGAGUUACACGUGAGUAACCUGUCCCUGACUUUCGGAUAACUUCAUGAAACUUGGGCUAAUACCGCAUAGGAUCUCUUGCUGCAUGGUGGGCGUUGGUAAGUUUCGGCGGUUGGGGAUGGACUGGCGGCUUACCGGCUUGUUGGUGGGGUAGUGGCUUACCAAGGUUUUGACGGGUAGCCGUCCUGGGAGGGUCAGCGGCCACAUGAGGACUGGGAUACGACACAGCAGCGAACCGGACGCAACGGUGGAGAGUAUAACACAAUAGGCGGGAGCCAGGUGCAACCACGCAGGGUGCGGGAAGACGGGCUUCGGGUGGUGAACCAAUGUCGCCUGAGCCGAGGAGUGAGUGACGGUAAUGGGUAAAGAAGCACCGGCUAACUACGUG
rnacentral:rRNA from 1 species